rnacentral:rRNA from 1 species
GACGAACGCUGGCGGCGUGCUUAACACAUGCAAGUCGAACGGAAAGGCCCUGCUUUUGUGGGGUGCUCGAGUGGCGAACGGGUGAGUAACACGUGAGUAACCUGCCCUUGACUUUGGGAUAACUUCAGGAAACUGGGGCUAAUACCGGAUAGGAGCUCCUGCUGCAUGGUGGGGGUUGGAAAGUUUCGGCGGUUGGGGAUGGACUCGCGGCUUAUCAGCGUGUUGGUGGGGUAGUGGCUUACCAAGGCUUUGACGGGUAGCCGGCCUGAGAGGGUGACCGGCCACACUGGGACUGAGAUGCGGCACAGACUCCUACGGGAGGCAGCAGAGGGGAAGAUUGUACAAUGGGCGGAAGCCUGAUGCAGCAACGCCGCGUGCGGGAUGACGACCUUCGGGUUGUAAACCGAUGUCGCCUGUGACGAAGCGUGAGUGACGGUAAUGGGUAAAGAAGCACCGGCUAACUACGUG